AUGGAGAUGCCGAGGUCGCCUGGAGCGGGCGCGUUCCGGUUUCUUGGCCUGCUCAAGCAGCCGGAGGCGGGCCACGACGGCGCUUGCUUCGAGCUGGACGAGAGCGACGUCAUGUGGCCGGCCGGCGGCGGGGACGUGGACGGGUGGGAGGCCGCGCCGGUGGCCGAGGCCGCAGUGGCCCCGCGGCGCGCUAGCGCGCGGCGCCGCUCGGCGCACGCCGUGCCACAGAGUUUCGGGCUGUCGUCGCUCCUCGCCGAGGGCGACGGCGGCAGCGUCGAGGGGCAGCAGCUGCCCGCGGGGAUGGCCCUGGCCGUGCCUUCGAGGCCGGGUCACGGCGCCGCGACACCGACACCGAGGCAGUCGGCGCCGGUGAGGGUGCCGGUGUGGCCGGGGCAGGCGGCCAGGCCCAGGGACAAGGCGAAGCGCGGCGCCAAGGAGGCAGAGGAGUCCGAGGAAGACGAGGAGGGCGGGGAGGAGAUGGUGCCGCCGCACGUGGUGGCGGCGCGGCGGCACGCGCGGUCGUCGUCGGUGCUGGAGGGCGCCGGGCGGACGCUCAAGGGGCGCGACCUCUGCCGCGUCCGCAACGCCGUGCUCCGCCAGACCGGCUUCCUCGACCUCUGA
rnacentral:rRNA from 1 species